rnacentral:rRNA from 1 species
UGAGAGAACUCGGGAGAAGGAACUCGGCAAAUUGGUACCGUAACUUCGGGAUAGGGUACGCCCUUGUAGCUUGACUGGCCUGCGCCAGAAGGGUGAGAGGGUUGCAAUAAACUGGUGGCUGCGACUGUUUAAUAAAAACACAGCACUCUGCAAACACGAAAGUGGACGUAUAGGGUGUGACGCCUGCCCGGUGCCGGAAGAUUAAAUGAUGGGGUGCAAGCUCUUGAUUGAAGUCCCGGUAAACGGCGGCCGUAACAAUAACGGUCCUAAGGUAGCGAAAUUCCUUGUCGGGUAAGUUCCGACCUGCACGAAUGGCGUAACGAUGGCCACACUGUCUCCUCCCGAGACUCAGCGAAGUUGAAGUGUUUGUGAUUAUGCAAUCUACCCGCGGCUAGACGGAAAGACCCCAUGAACCUUUACUGUAGCUUUGCAUUGGACUGUGAACCGAUCUGUGUAGGAUAGGUGGGAGGCUAUGAAAGCGGAACGCUAGUUUCGCUGGAGCCGUCCUUGAAAUACCACCCUGGUUUGUUUGCGGUUCUAACCUUGCCCGUGAUCCGGGUCGGGGACAGUGCAUGGUAGGCAGUUUGACUGGGGCGGUCUCCUCCCAAAGUGUAACGGAGGAGUACGAAGGUACGCUAGGUACGGUCGGAAAUCGUGCUGAUAGUGCAAUGGCAUAAGCGUGCUUAACUGCGAGACCGACAAGUCGAGCAGGUGCGAAAGCAGGUCAUAGUGAUCCGGUGGUUCUGUAUGGAAGGGCCAUCGCUCAACGGAUAAAAGGUACUCUGGGGAUAACAGGCUGAUACCGCCCAAGAGUUCAUAUCGACGGCGGUGUUUGGCACCUCGAUGUCGGCUCAUCUCAUCCUGGGGCUGUAGCCGGUCCCAAGGGUAUGGCUGUUCGCCAUUUAAAGAGGUACGUGAGCUGGGUUUAAAACGUCGUGAGACAGUUUGGUCCCUAUCUGCCGUGGGCGUUGGAUAUUUGAAGGGGGCUGCUCCUAGUACGAGAGGACCGGAGUGGACGAACCUCUGGUGUACCGGUUGUCACGCCAGUGGCAUCGCCGGGUAGCUAUGUUCGGAAGAGAUAACCGCUGAAAGCAUCUAAGCGGGAAACUCGCCUUAAGAUGAGAUAUCCCUGGGGCUUCAAGCCCCUUGAAGGGUCGUUCGAGACCAGGACGUUGAUAGGUCAGGUGUGGAAGCGCAGUAAUGCGUUAAGCUAACUGAUACUAAUUGCCCGUAAGGCCUAAA